rnacentral:rRNA from 1 species
GGGUUGUGAGGUUAAGCGACUAAGCGUACACGGUGGAUGCCCUGGCAGUCAGAGGCGAUGAAGGACGUGCUAAUCUGCGAUAAGCGUCGGUAAGGUGAUAUGAACCGUUAUAACCGGCGAUUUCCGAAUGGGGAAACCCAGUGUGAUUCGUCACACUAUCAUUAACUGAAUCCAUAGGUUAAUGAGGCGAACCGGGGGAACUGAAACAUCUAAGUACCCCGAGGAAAAGAAAUCAACCGAGAUUCCCCCAGUAGCGGCGAGCGAACGGGGAGCAGCCCAGAGCCUGAAUCAGUGUGUGUGUUAGUGGAAGCGUCUGGAAAGGCGCGCGAUACAGGGUGACAGCCCCGUACACAAAAAUGCACAUGCUGUGAGCUCGAUGAGUAGGGCGGGACACGUGGUAUCCUGUCUGAAUAUGGGGGGACCAUCCUCCAAGGCUAAAUACUCCUGACUGACCGAUAGUGAACCAGUACCGUGAGGGAAAGGCGAAAAGAACCCCGGCGAGGGGAGUGAAAAAGAACCUGAAACCGUGUACGUACAAGCAGUGGGAGCACAGAGCAAUCUGUGUGACUGCGUACCUUUUGUAUAAUGGGUCAGCGACUUAUAUUCUGUAGCAAGGUUAACCGAAUAGGGGAGCCGAAGGGAAACCGAGUCUUAACUGGGCGUUAAGUUGCAGGGUAUAGACCCGAAACCCGGUGAUCUAGCCAUGGGCAGGUUGAAGGUUGGGUAACACUAACUGGAGGACCGAACCGACUAAUGUUGAAAAAUUAGCGGAUGACUUGUGGCUGGGGGUGAAAGGCCAAUCAAACCGGGAGAUAGCUGGUUCUCCCCGAAAGCUAUUUAGGUAGCGCCUCGUGAAUUCAUCUCCGGGGGUAGAGCACUGUUUCGGCAAGGGGGUCAUCCCGACUUACCAACCCGAUGCAAACUGCGAAUACCGGAGAAUGUUAUCACGGGAGACACACGGCGGGUGCUAACGUCCGUCGUGAAGAGGGAAACAACCCAGACCGCCAGCUAAGGUCCCAAAGUCAUGGUUAAGUGGGAAACGAUGUGGGAAGGCCCAGACAGCCAGGAUGUUGGCUUAGAAGCAGCCAUCAUUUAAAGAAAGCGUAAUAGCUCACUGGUCGAGUCGGCCUGCGCGGAAGAUGUAACGGGGCUAAACCAUGCACCGAAGCUGCGGCAGCGACGCUUAUGCGUUGUUGGGUAGGGGAGCGUUCUGUAAGCCUGCGAAGGUGUGCUGUGAGGCAUGCUGGAGGUAUCAGAAGUGCGAAUGCUGACAUAAGUAACGAUAAAGCGGGUGAAAAGCCCGCUCGCCGGAAGACCAAGGGUUCCUGUCCAACGUUAAUCGGGGCAGGGUGAGUCGACCCCUAAGGCGAGGCCGAAAGGCGUAGUCGAUGGGAAACAGGUUAAUAUUCCUGUACUUGGUGUUACUGCGAAGGGGGGACGGAGAAGGCUAUGUUGGCCGGGCGACGGUUGUCCCGGUUUAAGCGUGUAGGCUGGUUUUCCAGGCAAAUCCGGAAAAUCAAGGCUGAGGCGUGAUGACGAGGCACUACGGUGCUGAAGCAACAAAUGCCCUGCUUCCAGGAAAAGCCUCUAAGCAUCAGGUAACAUCAAAUCGUACCCCAAACCGACACAGGUGGUCAGGUAGAGAAUACCAAGGCGCUUGAGAGAACUCGGGUGAAGGAACUAGGCAAAAUGGUGCCGUAACUUCGGGAGAAGGCACGCUGAUAUGUAGGUGAAGUCCCUCGCGGAUGGAGCUGAAAUCAGUCGAAGAUACCAGCUGGCUGCAACUGUUUAUUAAAAACACAGCACUGUGCAAACACGAAAGUGGACGUAUACGGUGUGACGCCUGCCCGGUGCCGGAAGGUUAAUUGAUGGGGUCAGCGCAAGCGAAGCUCUUGAUCGAAGCCCCGGUAAACGGCGGCCGUAACUAUAACGGUCCUAAGGUAGCGAAAUUCCUUGUCGGGUAAGUUCCGACCUGCACGAAUGGCGUAAUGAUGGCCAGGCUGUCUCCACCCGAGACUCAGUGAAAUUGAACUCGCUGUGAAGAUGCAGUGUACCCGCGGCAAGACGGAAAGACCCCGUGAACCUUUACUAUAGCUUGACACUGAACAUUGAGCCUUGAUGUGUAGGAUAGGUGGGAGGCUUUGAAGUGUGGACGCCAGUCUGCAUGGAGCCGACCUUGAAAUACCACCCUUUAAUGUUUGAUGUUCUAACGUGGACCCGUAAUCCGGGUUGCGGACAGUGUCUGGUGGGUAGUUUGACUGGGGCGGUCUCCUCCUAAAGAGUAACGGAGGAGCACGAAGGUUGGCUAAUCCUGGUCGGACAUCAGGAGGUUAGUGCAAUGGCAUAAGCCAGCUUGACUGCGAGCGUGACGGCGCGAGCAGGUGCGAAAGCAGGUCAUAGUGAUCCGGUGGUUCUGAAUGGAAGGGCCAUCGCUCAACGGAUAAAAGGUACUCCGGGGAUAACAGGCUGAUACCGCCCAAGAGUUCAUAUCGACGGCGGUGUUUGGCACCUCGAUGUCGGCUCAUCACAUCCUGGGGCUGAAGUAGGUCCCAAGGGUAUGGCUGUUCGCCAUUUAAAGUGGUACGCGAGCUGGGUUUAGAACGUCGUGAGACAGUUCGGUCCCUAUCUGCCGUGGGCGCUGGAGAACUGAGGGGGGCUGCUCCUAGUACGAGAGGACCGGAGUGGACGCAUCACUGGUGUUCGGGUUGUCAUGCCAAUGGCACUGCCCGGUAGCUAAAUGCGGAAGAGAUAAGUGCUGAAAGCAUCUAAGCACGAAACUUGCCCCGAGAUGAGUUCUCCCUGACUCCUUGAGAGUCCUGAAGGAACGUUGAAGACGACGACGUUGAUAGGCCGGGUGUGUAAGCGCAGCGAUGCGUUGAGCUAACCGGUACUAAUGAACCGUGAGGCUUAACCUUACAACG